rnacentral:tRNA from 1 species
ACCUGGCUGGCUCAGUUGGUGGAGCAUGUGACUCUUAAUCUCAGGGUUAUGAGUUCAAGCCCCGUGUUGAGUG